UUGUAGGAGGAGCAGAAUUUUCUGGCAGGACGGACAGUAAUUUUAAUAGGAUAGCCACUUACCAAGCUGCACGUUUCAUUUUAGGAGCACUUUAGUGGGUUUCAUUUUAGUGGGUUAAAGUUAGCAAACAAGUUGAGUGAGCUGACAGAAGGCAAAAAAAAAAAACACAAACACCUCAAACUAAUUGAAUGGCUCCAAAAGAAAAAAAUACUGAGAUGGAAAGUCAAGUGCAACCGGUGCCAUCACAAAAUGAAGCUGAAGAAAAAGAUUGUGGAUCUGUGGACCGAUUUGAAUGCUUGAUUUCAUGAUGGACAACAUUGCUGCAUCCUCAAGAACCCUUUCAAGAAUGGCAAAGCAACAGGAGGUCUGCGUGACAGCGAUGGAGAGGCUGCAUCAUAGAGAAGGACAGAGAAUUGGGGGAAGGAGCAUUUCGUGGUGAUAGAUGAGUCACUUCAGACAUAAAAGAAAGUAUGGAAGGGGCAGGAUGGCUGGGGGCUGGAAGCGGAGGAAGUGGGUGUUCGGGAUGCUGGGG